AACAAACGCUGGCGGCGUGCCUAACACAUGCAAGUCGCACGAGAAAUCUUGAGCAAUCGAGAGAGUACAGUGGCGCACGGGUGAGUAACACGUGGGUAACCUACCCUCGAAUUGGGGAUAACUCUUCGAAAGGAGAGCUAAUACCGAAUAAUAGUCCGGUCUCUACGGAGGCUGGAAUCAAAGGUGGCCUCUGCAUGCAAGCUACUGUUCAAGGAUGGGCCCGCGUACCAUUAGCUAGUUGGUAGGGUAACGGCCUACCAAGGCAACGAUGGUUAGCUGGUCUGAGAGGAUGGCCAGCCACACUGGAACUGAGACACGGGCCAGACUCCUACGGGAGGCAGCAGUGGGGAAUCUUGCGCAAUGGGGGAAACCCUGACGCAGCAACGCCGCGUGGGUGAUGAAGGCCUUCGGGUCGUAAAGCCCUGUCAGGUGGGAAGAAACAUGUCGGCGUGAAUAACACCGAUGUUUGACGGUACCACCGGAGGAAGCACCGGCUAACUCCGUGCCAGCCGCCGCGGUAAUAC
rnacentral:rRNA from 1 species